UGAAAUUCAAACUCGAAUUAAACUAAUAGGUAUUUUGCCAUCAAAAGGAUGAUUGGUGGCAUAAAGAGAACAAAUUAUUUACAAACAAGUACCGGUCCUACUCGUUCAUUAUAUGGUAUACAACAAAACAAAAAAGUGUACAUGCAUAUUCAUAGGUAAAUUCCCCUUAAAAGAGGGAACUAUUAAAAAAGACCAAGAAAAACCCAAGUUGGGCAGUUACCAUCAGCUUCCAUUUGGCACAUCUGAAAGUCCCAAAUUCAUGUACACAAAACCUCAAUUGAUCCUUCUAAGAAUAACAUCUGACGAGACCAGAUGUAUCUAGACAUCUCAGCUCAUAUGUUGUGUGACCUUCAUUCACAAGACAAAAGAGAGUACCCCCUUAUCCUAUAUGCAAUUUGUUUUAUCGGCGUCCAGAGAGACGUUAUCGACGUAUUGUGAGCGUUAUCGUAGUUGAUAAUGAACGAAAUUCUUGAAUCUAAUAUGUAAAAGUACUAUGGAGAUUUCUGUACUAAAAGUUAAAUUGCAUUUUGCCAUUCUAAUAAAAAAAUAGGUAAAUUAGCCCCUAUAUGGUAGAUCAAAAAACAAAUUGAUCAAAUAUGUUACAAAUUUUAUCCAUUUGUAUUAUUGAAAACUGGCGUGGCUGAUGGACUAACCAAACAGUGAUACGUGGCAUGCCAUAUGUACCUCGUGCUGAUGUACAAGGACCAUUUUUAGCAGAAAGAUCAGUUUGCUCUUUGAUCUAACAUACAAUGACUAGUUUACCCUUUUUUUAGUAAAGGAAGUAAAAUGCAAUUCGACUCUUAAUAAGAGGCUUCCAUUGUACUUUACAAUUGUAACGAUGAGAAAAUGAUUGGAAUUUGCAAAGUCGUAUAAACUUUUUGUUAGGGCCCCACCUGAACCUAACCUGUCCC
rnacentral:lncRNA from 1 species